rfam:Myotis lucifugus cont2.29959, whole genome shotgun sequence.
GGUGGUUCUCGGGUAAUGCACCCCGGAAUCGGGCUCCCUUCUCUCUGGUUCCAGGUGUAUCACUUGAGAACCACA